rnacentral:rRNA from 1 species
UACGUAGGGGGCAAGCGUUGUCCGGAAUUAUUGGGCGUAAAGAGCGUGUAGGCGGUCCGGUAAGUCGGCUGUGAAAGUCCAGGGCUCAACCCUGGGAUGCCGGUCGAUACUGCCGGACUAGAGUUCGGAAGAGGCGAGUGGAAUUCCCGGUGUAGCGGUGAAAUGCGCAGAUAUCGGGGAGGAACACCUAUGGCGAAGGCAGCUCGCUGGGACGUUACUGACGCUGAGACGACGAAGCGUGGGGGAGCAAACAGG